ensembl:lncRNA LINC00607 long intergenic non-protein coding RNA 607
AUAUCUGAAAGGAUAAGCAGGCUGUGCUUUCCAGAGCCCAGAAUACUCAGUACCUCUCAAUGACCCUCAGACGCUGUAGGAAGAGGAUUGGUUCACCUUUUAACCCAGAAUUUCUCACAUUGAAUGGACAGGAUGCAUUCCAAGAGGCCAGAGUAUGUGCAUCUCAGCUCCUGAUGGUUUCCACCACCACCAUUACUUUCUCUAUGUCAAGAUACCUGGGAAGCCGGUGUUUCAUUUGCAUUCUUGGAGCCCAGGAACUGUCUUCUACAAACUUUUCUUCCUAGUACCAUGUAAACGUACACAGGAAACGUUCAGAAAACAUCAGCCAAAUAGAAGAAUAAGGAAAUUCCUUCACUGACUAGAUAUUGGUGUUUGAUUCUGUCCUGCUUUGUACUCAAUGGCUAUUUCGGGGUUUCCAUUGCGGAAAACUAUUUGGAAAAUUGCAAGCCACGAGACAAGCCUCUAAGCUACUCCAGGAUCAUUGAGGACUCUCCAUGGGUUCUUAUUGUUAAAGAUCUUAACUCCUCAAGCCACUGCAUUUUUACUAUAUGCCUUGAACUACAAGAUGUGUUAAGAUUUAUAGGAUAAGGUUCUCAUCUCUAAAAACUCAUGGUCUCGAUGGAGAAGCAGUAUUUACACACAUGGAGAAGUUGAGAGUACUUGAAUGUGGAGUAUAAAGUGUGCGAUAUUGACAAGAAGCUCUACGAAAGUUCAGGAAGAGGAGGAGCAAGUGAGGAUGGAGAUGGACUUUGCAGAAUGGAGGAGAGGCAAAGAAACGGUUAGAAACAAUCUACAUAAUGAAAAGUCACUUUUGGGAGUUGUUUUAAGGCAGAGUAUCAUAUCGCAUCAAAACCGCUCCAUAAGUCCUGCCACUCCACGUGCAAUGCCAUGAACUUGAAGAAACUGCUGGUAAGAGAAAGCAAAUGCUGUGACCAGGCAAGAUUGUGUCUUACUUAUACUUACGGGCUUGUGGUUCAGCGGAGACCACACUGGACUGGACUGAACAGACAACUGAAGGGCUCUCUCUACCUUUCAGCAUCUCUGUCUGCCUUUCUGACUACCUAAAAAUUACUGCAACCUCUGAUUCUGUUUCUAAGGUGGAUUUUCCCUACUCAUGCUUCCUAGAGAUUUGGUGAGGAUUUGUUGAGUCAUGGGACAUUUCAGCUUGCCAAGCUUCUUUAGCUUUAGCACGUGUUUCCACCAGUGUCCCUUAACGGAGAGGAUGACUAUGUCACUGAAGAAGUGGAGGGGCUGAAAAUGGACUCAGCUCUUGGCCCCUGUAGAGACUGCAAGACUCCGUGCACAACGUGACAGUCGGGGCUUCCUCUGAGCACUGCGCCGUUCAGCCCUAUUGCGCAACCUGCCACGCCCUGUUACUGUAAAUGGAACACCGGCUGUGAGCUGGUCAAGGCCCUGCCAUGACAAGGCCACUUGCAUAGGACUCCAAAUUAAAAAAAAAAAAAAGGCCUUUCUUAUUGACUGAAAAACUGGUUGUGUUUUUCAUAUUUUUCACUUUCUGGAGCUGAAUUAUUAAUAGGCAAAAAUUAGGUGGGGCUUCAUUGAUAUUCUCACCAGCUUUUACAAACCAAGAAUCGGAAAGUGUGCCUCGGUGAGUUGCCUUUUGUUAGCAGUGUGGAGAUGCAGGCAAAAGUGAUCAGCGUGGUUUGUAUUUGCAGCCGCCCCUCCCCUCUCUUCAGAGUCUCUCCUUCCCGGCUGCAAGGUGCGUCUUUAAUGUGCGACACUGACAAGGCGUUUCAGCCAUGCAGCUAAUUAAUAUCAUGCCGAGGCUCAAUGUGACAGGUCCUUCAGACUCAUAAAUCAGAAACCACUAACAAAUGUCGUUCCUUUUCUGAUCUCUUUCUCUUGCUUUUUAAUAUGUUGAUUUACUUUCAGUAUGCAUAACCAAAAAAGAAACAAACCAAUAAAAAUACUGAUGAAAA